rnacentral:rRNA from 1 species
UACGUAGGGUGCAAGCGUUGUCCGGAAUUAUUGGGCGUAAAGAGCUCGUAGGCGGUCUGUCGCGUCGGCUGUGAAAUCCCGGAGCUCAACUCCGGGUCUGCAGUCGAUACGGGCGGACUCGAGUUCGGCAGGGGAGACUGGAAUUCCUGGUGUAGCGGUGAAAUGCGCAGAUAUCAGGAGGAACACCGGUGGCGAAGGCGGGUCUCUGGGCCGUAACUGACGCUGAGGAGCGAAAGCGUGGGGAGCGAACAGG